rnacentral:tRNA from 1 species
GCCUUCGUGGUCUAACGGUAGCACACUCGUCUCGUAUUCGAGAGGUCCAAGUUUGAAUCUUGGUGAGGACA